rnacentral:rRNA from 1 species
AGAGUUUGAUCAUGGCUCAGAAUAAACGUUGGCGGUGCGCCUUAUGCAUGCAAGUCGAACGGGGUUACGGUCUUCGGAUUGUAACCUAGUGGCGAAUGGCUGAGUAACGCGUAAGUAGCCUGCCUUGGAGUGGGAAAUAACUUGCCGAAAGGCAAGCUAAUGUCCCAUGUGGUAACGAAGCAAAUGCUUUGUUAUUAAAGCCUUAGGGUGCUCCGAGAGGGACUUGCGUCUGAUUAGCUAGUUGGUAGGGUAAUGGCCUACCAAGGCGAUGAUCAGUAGCUGGUCUGAGAGGAUGGUCAGCCAGAUGGGGACUGAGACACGGCCCCAACCCCUACGGGAGGCAGCAGCAAGGAAUCUUGGGCAAUGAGCGAAAGCUUGACCCAGCGACACCGCGUGAGGGAAGAAGGCCUUCGGGUUGUAAAGCUCUUUUCUUGGGGAAGAAUUCUGACGGUACCCAAGGAAUAAGCCUCGGCUAACUACGUGCCAGCAGCCGCGGUAAUACGUAGGAGGCGAACGUUAUUCGGAUUUACUGGGCGUAAAGGGAGCGUAGGCGGUUCCUUAAGUCAGAUGUGAAAUCUUCUGAUUCAAUCAGAAGGCGUCAUUUGAUACUGAGGGACUUGAGAAUAGCAGAGGGAAUGGAAUCCCCAGUGUAGCGGUGAAAUGCGUAGAUAUUGGGGAGAACACCAGUGGCGAAGGCGAUUUUCCAGGUUAUUUCUGACGCUGAGGCUCGAAAGCGUGGGGAGCGAAGCGGAUUAGAUACCCGCGUAGUCCACGCCCUAAACGGUGGACACUAGACAUGGGAGGUAUCGACCCUUUCUGUGUCGAAGCUAACGCCUUAAGUGUCCCGCCUGGGGAGUACGGCCGCAAGGCUAAAACUCAAAUGAAUUGACGG